ACAGGUCCCUGUGAUGUGUUUUUUUUCCAAAGUGCUAUUUGCUCUACAGUGUAGUCUAAUCUCAAUUCAGAGCCCCUUCAUCACACUUGUGAAUGUACUUUAUUACAGGUUAAGUGCUCUUGGGGAGUGGGGGUGCAGGUGCCUGCCUCUAGCCUUCUGUAAGCUUCUCCGGCCCUUUCUUAGAGGGCAUGUAGUGGGAUGAAUGGAGGGACACUGCUUUGUGGUAUAGAUGACCCAUCUCACUUGCUUACAAAUGAGAUGGUUUCUGUUUGUGGGUCUCAGUGCUCUCUGCCUAGCAGAGCUAGUAAACUCUGGUUUUCUUUCUCGGGUCUACUAUGAAACUCAAAAUUCAGAUCUCAUGGAGGCAACUGAGAGGUAUAUCAGGCAAAACACAGGAGCUAUGCUGGAGCUAGGGGUGACCCUGGCUAAACACCAGAGUAAAACAAAGCUUUUAUUCUUAUCUCAGGCAAGAAGCUAGGCCUCACAGGCCCUGAGCAGACCCAGGGUUUGGCAACUUUCCUGGGUAGGCUUAGGACUUGGCUAGCAAGUGCUCCACAACUGGCCAUGGGACCGACCAAGUGAUCCUCUAGACUGGACUCACGGCUGAAGCUGUGUUCUUUUCUAGAGCAGUGCCCUUAAGUGAGAGAUAAAACUGAAAGCAAACAGCUGCCCUGCCCAGCGAGCUGCCUGGCCUGCGGCCGCAGGGGUUGUCUGAGGGCUCUACACAGCUGCCACCGCACUCAACUUUCACCCCCUUGGCUGGCUGCCUCUUUCUGGGGUGGCUCCCACUAUCCUCUCCUAAGGUAGCAACAAGGACUUCCCAGACAGUGAAGGCAGCAGAGAACUCAGCAGCCACAGCCAUGAGUAGGAGGAAACGAUGACAGGACACUCAGACCAGAGGUACAGUCGUGGGUAGAUCAAAUUUAACUAACCCAGCUACAGCUGGCCUACUGCAGCUCACUCUCCGUUCCUGUUAGCACUCUACCACAGGGCUCUUCUGCCCAAGUGUUCCCUCUGUGCCUUCCCACCUGGCACAUCUGUCCUUCUGAGAAGCUGUUUCUAACAGGCCCAGCCCAUAGGGCUCCUGCUUACACCAUCACUGGCCCUCAGUUUCCACAAUGAAUGGUCCAGGAGAGCCAGACAGACUCCUUAGCCCACUAACCAGUGCUGACUAGUGGGUAGUUUCCAAAGUCCAGCCUCCAGAGAGAUGGGUUAGAGUAACUUUCCUGGCAGAGUUCCUGGGUUCUGCUGCACACCAGCCUGCUCAGGUCUUGACAAGCACAGCACAUGCCAACAGGUCUCUAGGCCUUCCCUGGGCACCCAUCAACUUGUGGUCAGGGUCAGGGUAGGUACCAGCCGGUUCUGGCUCCUUCCCGAUCCUGUAUAUCCUCACCCAGGUUGCUCAUCUUCUUUGAAAAGUUUCAGGUAGCCUUUAGCAGAACCUCCUGUGACCUUUAAGUCUAUUCUUGGACUCUGCAGAGAGUUAGGGACUUGGUGGAUCUAAGAAAAUGAAACAGGUCAUGAUCUUUUGUUUACAAGAGGAACAGCUCAGCCAUAAGGCCUGGGCCAUAGUCAUGAGGGCCCUGGGCUUUAGGAAGUUCCCUUGGACCUGUCUCCUUUCUGGUAUGAUGUGGUGAACCUCUUCUGGCAGUUAUGCUAAAGGCCAUAGUUCCAGUUAGGUACAGGGAAGACCUUAGAAUCACUGGCCCCUUCCCUGGGGAGCUUGCAGAUCCAUAGCAGAGCUGGCUCUGGGGACGGACUAGACAGGAGCAUGCCUAUUAAGCUGUCAUCCGUGCUGGCGCAGGCUUUGGUGCUGCCGCUGUCUUUGAGUCAUGUCUGCUCCAGUAAGGGGCCCUUCACCCAUGUUCCUGAAAAGUUUUGUCACACAUAACAGGAGGAGACAGAAUGCAUGAGAUCCACAAAUGGAGAUUCAAGAUUGGAUAUCUCCCUCCCUUCCCCCUUGCGGUAAGCUGAGCAUCGCCUGGAACAUUACUGAGAAAUUAUGUGUUUCCGACAGGUAGGCAAUUCUGUCACCAAAUCCCAGCUCCUUCCCACCUGCCUCAGCACACUUCCAAGGCCCCACACGCGCUCUGGAUCCCACACUUCUCUGACCCAGAGACCGGCCUGCUCCUCUGAACCAGCAUCUCCACCUUCAGUUCUCCAGAAGCCUUUCCUUCCCGGCUGCUCUUAAAGAUCUCAGGUUUAGCUCGCAGCACUCACAUGGUAAGCUCAGAGCACUGUGGUUACAGUUGUAAGGGAUCAAAUCCCUUCUUCUGACCUCCAUGGGCACCGGGCACACAUGUGGUAUACACACAUACAUCCAUGUAAAACAUCUGUACAUCUUAAAAAAUAAGAAAGUCACUGGGCUGUGGAUUUCUGAGUUUGAGGCCAGCCUGGUCUACAGAGUUCAAGAGUUGUCCCAGCCAAUCCUAUUUCUUUGUUCCAAUCUUGCAGCCAUUAUCAUUAAAUCCUUAAUUACAUAAGAUUUUGUGACUUCAUCACAUACCAAUGAAUCCAUGUAAGUAAAUAAUGCAGCACAAUAAAAACAAACUCUAAAUCCACAACCCAGCCUAAAGCUACAGUGCUGUCAGUCUUGUUAAUGACCUACAUGCUCGCACCUGCCCCUCUCAUCUCCAUACAGAGAACACUGUCGCUCCAUCUGUCAGAAGCCGAGACAGAUCUCAAAGGUGGCUGAAGGUGAAUCAAGGUCACGUAACACCCAGGAUGAUAAUGGAGACAUCUACUUGAUUUUUUUCUUCCAGAGUCUCAGAGGUUAUCCUGAACUUUUUUUGUUUUUUUGUUUUUUCGGCAGGCACUACCAUGUUUAGUUUCUGUGGAGCUGGGUCUGAGAGACCCUAGCGAGACAUCUCUAAAAUGCUAAGAUUCAAGUUGGCUUCAUUUAUUCUAUAGUCAGUGAAAAUCAGUUUCAAAAUGAAGGCAAAAUAAAGCAACCUGUGAGCUCUAAAGUGGAGAGGCCUGGUUACCAGCAGGCCCACGAGCUAUGAAUCCUUAAAGGAAGCCCUCAGGAGAGGGCUGCUCCAGGGGAGCCAGGGUGCGGGAAAAUGACAUGUAGGAGAAGAACAGUAUGUGAGGAAUAACUAAGGCUAUUCUUUGCUGAAAUUCUUCAAAGCGAGGCCAUCGUGAGUGUGCAUGGUUUGCAGGGGCAGGUGCCCGUGUGUGGAGGCCGCUCUGGGUGCUUUUCUUUAUCGACCCUGCCUUAUCUUUUCAGACAGAACUGCCCUGAGCCUAGCGUUUGGUUUUGGUUGGCCUUUUAUGUGGUGUUGAGCGUCUGAACUCGGUUCCCAUGCUUGGGCAACAGGCAAUUUUCCAUGGAGGCCAUUUUUAAGACUUUCAGAGACUUUAAAGUUUGAGAUGACUAUGCAAUUCUCGAUUAAAUCUAAAGCAAAUGUAAGACA